GACGAACGCUGGCGGCGUGCUUAACACAUGCAAGUCGAACGGAAAGGCCCUGCGUUUGUUGGGUGCACGUUUGGCGAACGGGUGAGUAACACGCAAGUAACCUGCCCUUGUCUUUGGGAUAACUUCAGGAAACUGGGGCUAAUACCGGAUAUGAGCUCCUGCUGCACGGUGGGGGUUGGAAAGAUUCGGCGGUUGGGGAUGGACUCGCUGCUUAUCCGCUUGUUGGUGUGGUAGUUGCUUACCAAGUGUUUGACGGGUAGCCGGCCUUAGAGCGUGAACGGCCACAUUGGGACUGAGAUACGCAGCAGACUGCUAUGGGAGGCAGCAGUGGGGAAUAUUGCGCAAUGGGGGGAAGCCUGAUACAGCGACGCCGCGUGCGGGAUGCCGGCCUUCGGGUUGUAAACAGCUUUCGAAUGUGACGAAGCGUGAGUGACGGUAAUGGGUAAAGAAGCACCGGCUAACUACGUG
rnacentral:rRNA from 1 species